rnacentral:rRNA from 1 species
AUGGGGAACACGCCGGGGAAGGAGAAUCCAGAGGAGAAGAAGAAGCUGGAGAAGCUGCGGAGCGCGGCGCAGCGGCAGAAGGCGAAGCUGUACAUCGUCGCGGCCUGCAUCGCCCUGCUCGUCUGCGGCUGCCGCAGCAACAACAACCAACCAAGGCGUACGUGUGUGCAUUAUACUAUACUUAUCCAGCCUGACAGUAUAUAA